rnacentral:rRNA from 1 species
UACGUAGGGUGCGAGCGUUAAUCGGAAUUACUGGGCGUAAAGCGUGCGCAGGCGGUUUUGUAAGCCAGAUGUGAAAGCCCCGGGCUUAACCUGGGAAUGGCAUUUGGGACUGCAAGGCUUGAGUGCGGCAGAGGAGACUGGAAUUCCUGGUGUAGCAGUGAAAUGCGCAGAUAUCAGGAGGAACACCGGUGGCGAAGGCGGGUCUCUGGGCCGAUAUUGACGCUGAGGAGCGAAAGCGUGGGGAGCGAACAGG